UUUUAUGAGAGUUUGAUCCUGGCUCAGGACGAACGCUGGCGGCGUGCCUAAUACAUGCAAGUCGAACGCUUCUUUUUCCACCGGAGCUUGCUCCACCGGGAAAAGAAGGGUGGCGAACGGGUGAGUAACACGUGGGUAACCUGCCCAUCAGAAGGGGAUAACACUUGGAAACAGGUGCUAAUACCGUAUAACAAUCAAAACCGCAUGGUUUUGAUUUGAAAGGCGCUUUCGGGUGU
rnacentral:rRNA from 1 species